rnacentral:rRNA from 1 species
UUUGGAAUUUUGGACAAUGGGCGAAAGCCUGAUCCAGCGACGCCGCGUGGACGAUGAAGGUCUUCGGAUUGUAAAGUCCUUUUGUAAGGGAAGAAUAUUUUGACGGUACCUUACGAAUAAGAGGUUGCUAACUCUGUGCCAGCAGCAGCGGUAAUACAGAGACCUCAAGCGUUAUCCGGAAUCAUUGGGCGUAAAGCGUACCGAUAGGUGGUUAUACAAGUCAGAUGUGAAAUCUCCGAGCUCAACUCGGAAUCUGUCAUUUGAAACUGUAUGACUAGAGGGGCAAAGAGGAAGCUAGAACGAACGGUGUAGUAGUGAAAUGCGUUGAUAUCGUUCGGAAUACCGAUAGCGAAGGCAGGCUUCUGGGUGCCACCUGACACUGCUAGGACGAAAGCGUGGGGAGCGAAUGGG